CCUGGGGGCUCAGUCGGUUAAGCCUCCGACUUCGGCUCAGAUGAAACAUGAGACCCAGGGGGCCUCCCUCCUUCCCACGACCUGAGCCCUCCUUUGUGACGUCUCUAGCCUCAUUCCAUCAUUCGAGUCACGAUAAUUGAGCACCUUCCCCAGAAAAACCUCAGGCUGGGCACUGGGUAGAAAGGUCCCUUCCCCUGGAGCUGCCCCUGAGCUAGGCCUUGAAGGCGGAGCAAAAGUCCGUCCGUGCCCUUCGGGAGCUGUGGACAGACACACCGGGCCAAACGAAUACACUGCGAUCAAUGCCCCCCAACCAGGACCCGCCACUGCGGCCUGGCGCCCACCGGGCUGCGGGCGGGGACGGGCGCCACCUGCCGGGAACAGGUGAGAUGUGCAUCUGAUGCCCCUGGGCUUUGGUCCUUCCGGACUGGGACCGAAGACUGUGGCUGGGCUCAGGACUGCAGCCCCGGGCAGGCACGGAUGACAUGGUGACCAACAAGACGGCCACGGUCCCGUAGGCCCCGAGGGCAGGAGGCUGAGAUUAAACAACUUGUUACACAUGA